GAUGAACGCUGGCGGCGUGCCUAAUACAUGCAAGUCGAGCGAACAGACGAGGAGCUCGCUCCUCUGACGUUAGCGGCGGACGGGUGAGUAACACGUGGAUAACCUACCUAUAAGACUGGGAUAACUUCGGGAAACCGGAGCUAAUACCGGAUAAUAUAUUGAACCGCAUGGUUCAAUAGUGAAAGACGGUUUUGCUGUCACUUAUAGAUGGAUCCGCGCCGCAUUAGCUAGUUGGUAAGGUAACGGCUUACCAAGGCGACGAUGCGUAGCCGACCUGAGAGGGUGAUCGGCCACACUGGAACUGAGACACGGUCCAGACUCCUACGGGAGGCAGCAGUAGGGAAUCUUCCGCAAUGGGCGAAAGCGUGACGGAGCAACGCCGCGUGAGUGAUGAAGGUCUUCGGAUCGUAAAACUCUGUUAUUAGGGAAGAACAAAUGUGUAAGUAACUAUGCACGUCUUGACGGUACCUAAUCAGAAAGCCACGGCUAACUACGUG
rnacentral:rRNA from 1 species